GGGGACAUUGCUAGCUGUGGGCAGAGGGCUGUCCUGCGGCAAGGCAGCUGGUGCAUGCACAAGUCCACUAGCGCAUCGUGUCUGUGGAUACCCAGAGAUUUUCUUGAAUCAAUGAUGGGGCGGUAUGGAACAUCAUUCAUGUAUCACUUCAGUAUAUAUUUAGUAGCCCCCUGCUGUGGGCCAGGCACCAUGCCACAGUGCGCAUAUGGGGUGAGCAAGAAGAGGUGCCCCCUGCCCUGAUCCUGCAGUCAAGCUGCUGAGUGACAUGGAAUAUACAUGAAGUAUCACCAAGAAGAACAGGAGAGGAGGAAAAGGGAAAAACUGCACCCAGCAAACCUGCAGCCUUGUGCUU